GUCCUGGUAUUUCAGGGGUUAGAAAGUACGAUUGCAAAUCGUGAGGUCGCCGGUUCAAAUCCGGCCCAGGACU